UACGGGGGGGGGCAAGCGUUGUUCGGAAUUACUGGGCGUAAAGGGCUCGUAGGCGGCCAACUAAGUCAGACGUGAAAUCCCUCGGCUUAACCGGGGAACUGCGUCUGAUACUGGAUGGCUUGAGUUUGGGAGAGGGAUGCGGAAUUCCAGGUGUAGCGGUGAAAUGCGCAGAUAUCAGGAGGAACACCGGUGGCGAAGGCGGAUCUCUGGGCCUUACCUGACGCUGGAGGCGCGAAAGCUAGGGGAGCAAACAGG
rnacentral:rRNA from 1 species